UUGGACCUACGGGGCGCAGCAGUGAGGAAUAUUGGUCAAUGGGCGAGAGCCUGAACCAGCCACGUCGCGUGAGGGAAGACGGUCCUAUGGAUUGUAAACCUCUUUUGCCGGGGAGCAAAAAGCGGUACGUGUACCGCAUCGAGAGUACCCGGAGAAAAAGCAUCGGCUAACUACGUGCCAGCAGCCGCGGUAAUACGUAGGGGGCAAGCGUUAUCCGGAUUUACUGGGUGUAAAGGGAGCGCAGACGGCAGCGCAAGUCCGGGGUGAAAGCCCGCGGCCCAACCGCG
rnacentral:rRNA from 1 species